GCAACACGAUUGCCUUCAUGGUAGAAAUGUGAAACUUUGAAAGCCCAAAUGACCCACUUCAGCUGCACCAUAUCAUCGAGAACAGGUUUCAUAUGUUGCAUAUUAUAACUAGUACCCUGCGUUCGGGGUAUGACAGUAGUUGAGUCCUCUUAUGAGCCACACUCGAGUAGCUUUGCAUUGAAAAACUACUCGACGGAGGCCUUAUUAAGCCGUUGCUAACUCAGCCCAAGGGACAGGGCAAGUUGAAGUUUUCCUUCCUCCUACAUAUAUGAAGGACCCAUAAGAAUCCCAUGUAUGUGGCUUCCAUUUAUUAGCUAUAUUUCUUUUCCAACGUAGUUAAGUAGCCAAUCUCCUUCAACAUGCUCGAACGAGCUUCUUAUUUAAAAGCUUAGACAACAAUGAUUAUCAAGUUUGAGUUUCUUUCAUGUCCCCUACUAGAAUAGAUUUAACAUUUUGUAACAUGCACCACAACAAGUAACCCGGCCCAUGCUGCAGAAUUUAAUUAAAUAGUCAAAAAAAAGAAGAAAAGUAGAUCAUCUUCUUAUGAGGAACUAGUAAAUAAAUACAUAUAAGGUUAAAAGCGACACCAAACUAAUAAAGCUGUCUUCCGCCAUCAUCAGCCCUCAGGACCACCACUUUCUCCUCCAUUUUCGAGACUUUAAUUUCUAGAGGUCGCCUACCCGUUCUUCUAAGCAGCCUUCGUCUGCUCCCCGCCGACCAAAUAAAACAGAAAAGAUUAAAUCAAAAUAAAAGAAACGAUUCAAACGUUAAGAUAAUAAGCUGAUCGUCUUCGUUUUUGAGACUUCUAACACUCAAUUUUUCAAAAUUCAGGAAAAAUCACAUCUUUUGGAGAACAGAAUGGUGAAAAUUCGAUCGUUUUGAUUUGGAUAGCAUGGGCAAAGAAACUUUUAGAUGGAAAGGUAAAGGGCUUGACGUCGAUGAUCGAUCAUCCUCCUACUUAAACUUCGAUAACUCGUUCUUGAACUUCUGAAAGUCAGCCUCGAAGACGUCGUCAAUCUCUACCAUGGGAUGGUACGUCAUGUAGCACUUUUUCGCCGCUCCGUUCUUCCUGAAAUUCGAUCAGAAGUAGUCGACAAUCAUCCAUCCAGACCUCGCAGAGGGGUGGGUUGGCCUUGCGCCGACCGCCGAGAGUGAGAGAAGGAAAAGACAGGAGAGCGAUCCCAUCGAAGGAGGGAUGCGCUACCUAAAAAAAUAAAAAAUAAAAAAUAAGGGUGAAAAAUUCUGAAACGGAAUUACAUCCCACGCAAAAAACAAAAGGCCCGGGGAGAGGCCUUGCGUCUCUCUCCAUCAUACUCAAAAAGAAAAAAAAUAGAUAAAAGACAAAAAAAAUGCGAACAAUAACGAUCAAUUCCAUCAAAUCAGACCCCACUGAUGGUUUGCUUCGUCCUACAUUCAUAAUGCCUUAAGAGAUUAUUGGGUACAUAAAUUCUUUAGAUGAGGUCUUGAUUGUUACGAAUACCUAACUCAUAAUUCUUGCAAUUAAGGGAUACUAAAAGUUGAGCCUUUUUAGGGUUAUCUACCUGCCCAUCAUACAAGAAGGUCAGAAGGAAGUGUGGGAGAUCCUAUAUGAGCACGUUUUUAGUAGCACUGGGCAUAAAGAAGAUCUUGGAUACAUGAGUCAUGACCUUCGAUAACAUUUUUUGACUAGUCUUUUUUUGAUAAGAUCCUAAAUCGUUACAACUUGAGUUAGAGGUAUAAUUGUACCAUCAAAACUCUAUCCACAAUCUUUCAAACCUACUAGAGUAAAUAAUAAGAAUAAGCAAGACAAAUUUGAUAUGGCAGGAGAGAGAUUAGGCCAAACCUCAUUAGUAGAGAAACUCUAUAUGAUGAAUUUAUGACAAAAUAGGUUCCAAAGGAAGGUAGAUAUAUACCAUCGAAUGCAUCCCUAC
rnacentral:lncRNA from 1 species